UGGGGAAUAUUGCACAAUGGGGGAAACCCUGAUGCAGCAACGCCGCGUGAACGAUGAAGGCCUUUGGGUCGUAAAGUUCUGUUCUAGGUGAUGAAAACUGACAGUAACCUAGGAGAAAGCCCCGGCUAACUCCGUGCCAGCAGCCGCGGUAAUACGGAGGGGGCAAGCGUUAUCCGGAAUUAUUGGGCGUAAAGGGUACGUAGGUGGCCUUUUAAGCGUAGGGUAUAAGGCAAUGGCUCAACCAUUGUUCGCCCUAUGAACUGGAAGGCUUGAGUGCAGGAGAGGAAAGCGGAAUUCCUAGUGUAGCGGUGGAAUGCAUAGAUAUUAGGAGGAACAUCAGCGGCGAAGGCGGCUUUCUGGACUGCAACUGACACUGAGGUACGAAAGCGUGGGGAGCAAACA
rnacentral:rRNA from 1 species